AACCCAUGAUGAGGACAUCUUUUAAAUAAUCCUUGUACCUCUCUCAAGCCUCAAAAAGCGACUUUGAAUCUAGUUGCAUAAAUGAUGUGAUGUCAUUCCUCAUCUU
rnacentral:snoRNA from 1 species